AAAUUGAAGAGUUUGAUCAUGGCUCAGAUUGAACGCUGGCGGCAGGCCUAACACAUGCAAGUCGAACGGUAACAGGAAGCAGCUUGCUGCUUUGCUGACGAGUGGCGGACGGGUGAGUAAUGUCUGGGAAACUGCCUGAUGGAGGGGGAUAACUACUGGAAACGGUGGCUAAUACCGCAUAACGUCGCAAGACCAAAGAGGGGGACCUUCGGGCCUCUUGCCAUCAGAUGUGCCCAGAUGGGAUUAGCUUGUUGGUGAGGUAACGGCUCACCAAGGCGACGAUCCCUAGCUGGUCUGAGAGGAUGACCAGC
rnacentral:rRNA from 1 species